GCCGGAGUGGCGAAAUGGCAGACGCACUAGACUCAAAAUCUGGCGCUGGUAACAGCGUGUGGGUUCGACUCCCACCUCCGGCACCA
rnacentral:tRNA from 1 species